rnacentral:lncRNA from 1 species
UGUGUAAUUUUGUUACGUUACAACACUGUGAAUUAACUGUGUUAAAAAAAUGUUAAUUUGUUAGUUAGAGUAGGAUUCAGUUAGUUGUGAAGCUAGUUAAAAGAGUGAAGUUAUUGAUUUGGUUCUGUUAAUAGGGGGAAAUGUUUUGUUAGUUGCAGUGGGAAAUGAAAAUGAAAAUCAAUUCUGAGUUAGUUUAAUGAUGAAAU